rnacentral:rRNA from 1 species
UACGUAGGGUGCGAGCGUUGUCCGGAAUUAUUGGGCGUAAAGCGCACGUAGGCGGCUUCUUAAGUCAGGGGCGAAAUCCUGGAGCUCAACUCCAGAACUGCCUUUGAUACUGAGAAGCUUGAGUCCGGGAGAGGUGAGUGGAACUGCGAGUGUAGAGGUGAAAUUCGUAGAUAUUCGCAAGAACACCAGUGGCGAAGGCGGCUCACUGGCCCGGUACUGACGCUGAGGUGCGAAAGCGUGGGGAGCAAACAGG